AGAGUUUGAUCCUGGCUCAGGAUGAACGCUGGCGGCGUGCCUAAUACAUGCAAGUCGAGCGAACGGACGAGAAGCUUGCUUCUCUGAUGUUAGCGGCGGACGGGUGAGUAACACGUGGAUAACCUACCUAUAAGACUGGGAUAACUUCGGGAAACCGGAGCUAAUACCGGAUAAUAUUUUGAACCGCAUGGUUCAAAAGUGAAAGACGGUCUUGCUGUCACUUAUAGAUGGAUCCGCGCUGCAUUAGCUAGUUGGUAAGGUAACGGCUUACCAAGGCAACGAUGCAUAGCCGACCUGAGAGGGUGAUCGGCCACACUGGAACUGAGACACGGUCCAGACUCCUACGGGAGGCAGCAGUAGGGAAUCUUCCGCAAUGGGCGAAAGCCUGACGGAGCAACGCCGCGUGAGUGAUGAAGGUCUUCGGAUCGUAAAACUCUGUUAUUAGGGAAGAACAUAUGUGUAAGUAACUGUGCACAUCUUGACGGUACCUAAUCAGAAAGCCACGGCUAACUACGUGCCAGCAGCCGCGGUAAUACGUAGGUGGCAAGCGUUAUCCGGAAUUAUUGGGCGUAAAGCGCGCGUAGGCGGUUUUUUAAGUCUGAUGUGAAAGCCCACGGCUCAACCGUGGAGGGUCAUUGGAAACUGGAAAACUUGAGUGCAGAAGAGGAAAGUGGAAUUCCAUGUGUAGCGGUGAAAUGCGCAGAGAUAUGGAGGAACACCAGUGGCGAAGGCAACUUUCUGGUCUGUAACUGACGCUGAUGUGCGAAAGCGUGGGGAUCAAACAGGAUUAGAUACCCUGGUAGUCCACGCCGUAAACGAUGAGUGCUAAGUGUUAGGGGGUUUCCGCCCCUUAGUGCUGCAGCUAACGCAUUAAGCACUCCGCCUGGGGAGUACGACCGCAAGGUUGAAACUCAAAGGAAUUGACGGGGACCCGCACAAGCGGUGGAGCAUGUGGUUUAAUUCGAAGCAACGCGAAGAACCUUACCAAAUCUUGACAUCCUUUGACAACUCUAGAGAUAGAGCCUUCCCCUUCGGGGGACAAAGUGACAGGUGGUGCAUGGUUGUCGUCAGCUCGUGUCGUGAGAUGUUGGGUUAAGUCCCGCAACGAGCGCAACCCUUAAGCUUAGUUGCCAUCAUUAAGUUGGGCACUCUAAGUUGACUGCCGGUGACAAACCGGAGGAAGGUGGGGAUGACGUCAAAUCAUCAUGCCCCUUAUGAUUUGGGCUACACACGUGCUACAAUGGACAAUACAAAGGGCAGCGAAACCGCGAGGUCAAGCAAAUCCCAUAAAGUUGUUCUCAGUUCGGAUUGUAGUCUGCAACUCGACUACAUGAAGCUGGAAUCGCUAGUAAUCGUAGAUCAGCAUGCUACGGUGAAUACGUUCCCGGGUCUUGUACACACCGCCCGUCACACCACGAGAGUUUGUAACACCCGAAGCCGGUGGAGUAACCUUUUAGGAGCUAGCCGUCGAAGGUGGGACAAAUGAUUGGGGUGAAGUCGUAACAAGGUAGCCGUAUCGGAAGGUGCGGCUGGAUCACCU
rnacentral:rRNA from 1 species